GACGAACGCUGGCGGCGUGCUUAACACAUGCAAGUCGAACGGUAAGGCCCUGCUUUUGUGGGGUGCUCGAGUGGCGAACGGGUGAGUAACACGUGAGUAACCUGCCCUUGACUUUGGGAUAACUUCAGGAAACUGGGGCUAAUACCGGAUAGGAGCUCCUGCUGCAUGGUGGGGGUUGGAAAGUUUCGGCGGUUGGGGAUGGACUCGCGGCUUAUCAGCUUGUUGGUGGGGUAGUGGCUUACCAAGGCUUUGACGGGUAGCCGGCCUGAGAGGGUGACCGGCCACAUUGGGACUGAGAUACGGCCCAGACUCCUACGGGAGGCAGCAGUGGGGAAUAUUGCACAAUGGGCGGAAGCCUGACGCAGCAACGCCGCGUGCGGGAUGACGGCCUUCGGGUUGUAAACCGCUUUCGCCUGUGACGAAGCGUGAGUGACGGUAAUGGGUAAAGAAGCACCGGCUAACUACGUG
rnacentral:rRNA from 1 species